rnacentral:rRNA from 1 species
CGUGAACGCUGGCGGUAGGCCUAACACAUGCAAGUCGAACGGCAGCACAGUAAGAGCUUGCUCUUACGGGUGGCGAGUGGCGGACGGGUGAGGAAUACAUCGGAAUCUACUUUUUCGUGGGGGAUAACGUAGGGAAACUUACGCUAAUACCGCAUACGACCUACGGGUGAAAGCAGGGGAUCUUCGGACCUUGCGCGAUUGAAUGAGCCGAUGUCGGAUUAGCUAGUUGGCGGGGUAAAGGCCCACCAAGGCGACGAUCCGUAGCUGGUCUGAGAGGAUGAUCAGCCACACUGGAACUGAGACACGGUCCAGACUCCUACGGGAGGCAGCAGUGGGGAAUAUUGGACAAUGGGCGCAAGCCUGAUCCAGCCAUACCGCGUGGGUGAAGAAGGCCUUCGGGUUGUAAAGCCCUUUUGUUGGGAAAGAAAAGCAGCAGGUUAAUACCCCGCUGUCCUGACGGUACCCAAAGAAUAAGCACCGGCUAACUUCGUG